AAAUAAGGUCAUGGCAGGGACGUUCUCUUUUUUUUUCCCCCAAACACAAAGUCAGGCAGGACAGUGUACGGGAGUUAGUUUCUAAUGCUGAAACUCUUGAGCUGUGCGAACAGUGAGCGGACGGCUUGACAGCCGAGGGAAAGGAUGUCAUGCCUGGGCUGUCGGGGAGAUUAAGCAGCCGACGAGGCGAGUUUUGGGUGUUUACUGUGACAGAAGAGAAUCUCGGAAAAGAACAGCCUGGAGGAAGCUCUUCCGAGAGCCUCUUUGCACCCGCAGAUCCCGAGACGCAGCGUUGACCCAGGCGUUAGCCCACACUGCUGGCCCGGGAACAGCACAGUGCCACAGCAGGCUUUGUUGAGCAUGCCACAGCAGAAGAUGCGCGAGGAAGGAGAUGACUGAUCACAAGACAUACGUUUUCAACAGCGGGCCGCUAAUCAGUUGAAGCAGACAAAUGAGAAGAUUCACAGCCCACCUGAAGCCCAGGAGAACGCCGUCUGAGCAGGCAUACCAGCAGAGGCCGCUACUAAUUAUCAAGAUCCUCUUCAUGAGUGACAUCUGCCUCCUACCCGUCUAUUAGAACAUCACCAGCGGCUUGAAGAAAAAAAACAAGGAGAAACCACACAACAACAGGGGCUUCCACUAUGCUUUGUUAGCUCAACAUUGUCACUGUGAAGGUGGUAUCUGUUUUGUAUUUUACACAAUUAUUUAUGUAUUUUUAGUGCGUGAAUUCUGUUGUGGGCUUAUGGUGCGAUAACUAAGGUCCAUCUGAUGACAGAUGCGGUCUGGUUUAUGAUGAGAGGCUUUCUAAUUAGCAAGAUCAAUGCAGAAAGUAAUUUAUUCAGGGUCAUAAGCUAAUUGGUGCCAACUUAACCCUUUCAUAAUCACAUAUGAAUUUCGUAAAUGUGCUUUCAGAUUUGUUUGUAUAAUGUACUCUCUUAUAGGGUUAUUUUGUUAUUUUAAGAAAUACGAAACCUCUUUAUCUCUUAAUAGUAACAAAAUAUGAACUGAAAUCCAAAUUCAGCUGCAAUUAUGCAGCAUGGUGACUAAACAGGUGAUUAAUUCUUCAUCUUCUGGCCUCCUGAUGUAAGUAAUACUGAUGUUGACUAUGGAGACUGUAGGCAUGGUGACGGUUCGUCUGUCGAGCGGCUGCCCAUUGAUGACCUCGUCCGUCUGAGGCAUCUGGCGCUCAGUGAUGCGCUUCUUCUCUGUCUCAUGCUCUAUCAAUCCCAAUGACGGAACACAGCACCAGACUGGACCCGCAUGGCCAUAAGAGGUGCUGGAGUCAACCCGAUCGACAGCCUAGCUCACUUCUCUGGUCUAAGGUCAACACUGGGGUCACUCAGCACCUAGAGUCACCCUGGGUAAUGCUGGAUUCACUCAUGACAUAAAAAAUCCCUGGACGUCUUUUCGAUUGCCUUUGUACACAAGGACAGGUUCAGUCAAAAGUUAAUGCAAAAUAUCCUUUGAAAACCAAAAAAGCAGUGCAUGCUAUUUUAUUGCAAAUUAAAUAGCAGUCCAUUCUAAUUGUUGUGCAUUCUUAACAGUAUUAAUUCUUGUAGUACUUAAAAAUAUUAUGUAUGUUAAAGUAAAACAAAC